UUGAUCAGGACGUGCUUGCACUGAAUGAGAUUUUAACACGAAGUGAGUGGCGGACGGGUGAGUAACACGUGGGUAACCUGCCCAGAAGCAGGGGAUAACACCUGGAAACAGAUGCUAAUACCGUAUAACAGAGAAAACCGCCUGGUUUUCUUUUAAAAGAUGGCUCUGCUAUCACUUCUGGAUGGACCCGCGGCGCAUUAGCUAGUUGGUGAGGUAACGGCUCACCAAGGCGAUGAUGCGUAGCCGACCUGAGAGGGUAAUCGGCCACAUUGGGACUGAGACACGGCCCAGACUCCUACGGGAGGCAGCAGUAGGGAAUCUUCCACAAUGGACGCAAGUCUGAUGGAGCAACGCCGCGUGAGUGAAGAAGGGUUUCGGCUCGUAAAGCUCUGUUGUUAAAGAAGAACGUGGGUGAGAGUAACUGUUCACCCAGUGACGGUAUUUAACCAGAAAGCCACGGCUAACUACGUGCCAGCAGCCGCGGUAAUACGUAGGUGGCAAGCGUUAUCCGGAUUUAUUGGGCGUAAAGCGAGCGCAGGCGGUCUUUUAAGUCUAAUGUGAAAGCCUUCGGCUCAACCGAAGAAGUGCAUUGGAAACUGGGAGACUUGAGUGCAGAAGAGGACAGUGGAACUCCAUGUGUAGCGGUGAAAUGCGUAGAUAUAUGGAAGAACACCAGUGGCGAAGGC
rnacentral:rRNA from 1 species